GCAGGGCUGCUGGUGGCAGGGUCGGUACGCCGCCGGCUUCUCCGACGAGAAGCACUCGUUGCCGUGACGCCCGGUGAUCUUGUGCAUGCACUGGAUCACCCGCGACUGCAUCCCUUUGCCACAGGUGACUUGAAAUCUCAAGUUUGCAGGAGGUAGAGAACAGAAGGUUUUUUUGUCUGUGAACAGGUAAAAGAACAAUUUCUUUAUAAAAAUCUUCCCCAGACUCUCAAAAUCCAUUACAUUGCAUCAUUCCUUAAUUUGCACAAAUGUGGAUAAGGAGAUGGCAUGCCAAAAACAAGAAUUGGGUCAAGCAAAAAAAAGUUCAAAAA